UGCUUUGGUUGUCGGGAAGCUCAAAGGUGAAUUCUUGCCCCGCCUUUGAACUCAAUGAGACUAUGGAGGAUUUCUUUCUGUGUGUUUACUUUUCCUUUGGUCUCACCUCAUUACUCCCUUUAUCUUUUUCUCCUUUUUAAAAACGUCACUGCAGUGUGGAUAUUGUCAAGCCACUUCCAACAAUGGAUUUGAGUCAUGUUAAGCUUUUGCUGAACCCAUGUGCCCUAUAAACUCAGCCAGUGGGCUAGUGAUGAUGGCUGGGAGAACUCUGGCACUUUCUAACUCCCAAGUGGCCGUAGUUCAUGGGAAGGAAAUGAAACUCUGAGAAGCAGAAUGACAGUGGAGGGGUACAUGUUGUUGGUGGACAGCAGAACCUCAGCCCGGGGAAGCUGGAUUACCCCUCACUCACCCACAUGGUGUCCACGGGUCAGAUCCUGGUUCCUUACGAAGGAACCACUCUGGGGAUGGGACAGUGGUAUAGAGAUAAAGAAGACCUUGCUGAGGAACUGACCCUCAAGAUCGUGCGCAGUGGGAGACAGCACACGUGUGGAAACAUGAAGUGAUUUAACAUAAACGACACAUGAGUUCAGACCAGUGAGGGUCACUGGCAAAUGCAGGAUUGUGGGAGGUUCCCGAAAGAGUGCUACCAAGCCAGGCCUGGGUGUGGGGCUGUGAUUGAGACGUGUGGACACCGGGGGAGGGGAUGAGGUGAAAGGCAGGCAGGACUAGCGGCCAUGGGUUUCAUGCUGGGAAUUCUAGACACUGUGGCAUUUGGCCGGGAAGAUAUUUUGGGCAGCAGAGAUUGUGACACAUCUCAAAUUAUCCUAUGCGAGUACUUGCUUACUCUUCUGUUUAUGAAACCAGCUCCGUCCAAGGGCAGGUGACCUGCAUAUGUGGACAGGACAGACUCCAAGAGAGAGACAGAUGCUAAUUACGGCUUCCCCAGAGCUGACUGUCCAGAAAACCCAACACGUGGGGCUGUGUUCUGGGGGAAUUGCUUAGAACCCUUUAUCAACAAGGAGCACUCCGGCUUCCAUGCGGAGAGGCUGCUGGAAGAGAUCCCACAAGCUUGAACAGCCCUGAGAACAAGGACAUCUCAGGACACGUCCGAGGAGCUCCCACGAGCUCAGCUGCUUCUGAGUGCCUUUCAUUUCUCGUGGCCUCCUUUUGACCAUGGGAGCGGGGCAUUCCGUGAACAGGACACCCGGCAGAGCUGGACAGUGGGGCUUCAUGGGGACAGCCCUGCAGUUCUUUCCUGUGCUUGCUUGAUUGGUCACAACUAGUAAUAGGUGCUUUUCCUGAAAGUCCACAAUUGCCUCUUGAAAUAGGAAAACCCCCGGUCAGAUGGAUAGGAUAUUACUAAUGGUGUGAAAACUUUUCCGGGCCAUUAAAACAAGAUCCUUCCCCUUGCCUACAAGUGAAAGUUUAACAAACCUUCCUUGGUUGGAAGACAAAAAAACAAUGUCUGAUUACAGCAAAGUUCAACGCCAUCCUGCCGGAUUCUUCUGGGCACACAAAACCCCUGAAAGGCAGGAGCCCCACCAGUGUCCGGACUCGGAAUCCAGCCUCUUGGGGUGCUUUCCGUAGAUGGCUUCCAGUGGUAUGAAACCACCCAUAAUCACAGCUGCUCUAUUCACCUUGCCCAGCGCCAUCAGCCGAUAAGUCAUUUCCUAAUUUGGUGUCUCAUCGAAUCCCAAUCACAGCUCCAAGAGGUGAAGAUGAUUCUUUGACUCUUGCAGAUGGGAACACCGACUGGAUAAUUUAAGCACAUUAUCCUGUCUCAGGGCAGUAUCGGUGGAAGGGUUUCCACCUGGUCUUGGGGUCAAAGUCCAUUUGGGCUCCUGAGCAGGGUUGGGAGAGGUGAGGCAGGGCUGGGAACCACAGGUGGAAGGGUGACCGCAGAGGUACCCGGGCCAACAUCUGGUCAUCUAGGAUAGGCUGUCCUCAAACAGGGAAGCCUCUCACCAGCCUUCCCUCUGCCUGGGAAGGUCACGAGUCGGUGUCAGAGAUCGCCAGAUCUGGAAGUGACCGAAGUCAUCUAGGAGUUCAAGUCCUUCAUUUUUCAGCUGGGCAAGUGGAGGCCCUGGGGACACGAGGUCAUGCAGAGACUCACACAGCCACCUGGAAUGGAGAGAUGUGAGUGCCAUGCCUCCGAGGAAGAAUGUGGACCACAGAUGGGCGGCCUGGGACUGCUUGGUACCGGAGAACUCAGAGAAGGAUGCCAAAAGGGGCCACCCACAGGGGUCCGAGAGCGGCUCGAGUGACCAUCGGUGCUAAUGAUACAACGCCGCGUGCAGGCCGAGUCUUCAUGGCGAUAACCCAUCCUCGAGGGACAGAGGAGAGAUAAGCAGGAGCAAAUCGAAGAGGUGUCCAGCAACAACUCAGACGUCCUAUCGCUCAGACGACUGAGGCUGUAGAGAGCAGGAUGGGAAUGCCAAGGAAGGAGUCGCUGAUAAACCAGUGCAGUCAUUGGAAGUGUUUCCGAGGGUGGGAAGGAGGCCUCGGGAGGCCUCAGGGAUGAGAUCAGGCAAGCCAUCAAUACGUCAAGGUAAUUUGCUAGCAGUCUGACUUUGGGUCGAGGUGUAUAAACCUGCCGGCCGUGAUGUAUGGAGCCUGCUAACCCGAGGAAGCCGGGC